AGAGUUUGAUCCUGGCUCAGAUUGAACGCUGGCGGCAUGCUUUACACAUGCAAGUCGAACGGGGUUAAGGGGCUUGCUCCUUAAUCUAGUGGCGAACGGGUGAGUAAUGCAUCGGAACGUACCCGGGAGUGGGGGAUAACGCACCGAAAGGUGUGCUAAUACCGCAUAUUCUGUGAGCAGGAAAGCAGGGGACCUUAGGGCCUUGUGCUUCCGGAGCGGCCGAUGUCGGAUUAGCUAGUUGGUGAGGUAAAGGCUCACCAAGGCGACGAUCCGUAGCGGGUCUGAGAGGAUGAUCCGCCACACUGGGACUGAGACACGGCCCAGACUCCUACGGGAGGCAGCAGUGGGGAAUUUUGGACAAUGGGCGCAAGCCUGAUCCAGCCAUGCCGCGUGUCUGAAGAAGGCCUUCGGGUUGUAAAGGACUUUUGUCAGGAAGGAAAACCUAUUGGCUAAUAUCCAGUGGGGAUGACAGUACCUGAAGAAUAAGCACCGGCUAACUACGUGCCAGCAGCCGCGGUAAUA
rnacentral:rRNA from 1 species